GGGGAUGCCAGGGUUUCGACGCCGGGCCAAGCUACUCUCGGAGCCGGUGAAGGCGCUGUGAAAGAUCGGCGUAGAUGAGGGUAGGCAACCUGGUGGACGGUGGUUCGACUCCGCCCAUCUCCAUAC
rnacentral:tmRNA from 1 species